AGCAUGUGGAGCAGCAUUUGCGUAAGUUGCCAGCCAGCCUUCAGGGCGAGCGCCGCACCCUUGAGACCAAGAUUGGGACGCUUAAGAAACAGCUGGCAGCUGAACAAGAUCAGAUGCAGAAAAUGAAACUGAAGAACGACCUGAAGAAGUUGGAGAAAGAGAAACAUGUUAUAGACAGCAAGUGUGCAGUUGACACCUCUAAGACCCCUAGCGAUUCCAGAAAGGAGCGUGAAGUGCGACAUCGCCU